CCUACGGGUGGCAGCAGUGGGGAAUAUUGCACAAUGGGGGAAACCCUGAUGCAGCGACGCCGCGUGAGCGAAGAAGUAUUUCGGUAUGUAAAGCUCUAUCAGCAGGGAAGAAAAUGACGGUACCUGAGUGAGAAGCUCAGGCUAAAUACGUGCCAGCAGCCGCCGUAAUACGUAUGGAGCAAGCGUUAUCCGGUUUUACUGGGCGUAAAGGGAGCGUAGGCGGCCUGCCAAGGCUGAUGUGAAAUACCGUGGCUGCACCCCGGGGCUGCAUUGGAAACUGGCAGGCUGGAGUGUCGGAGAGGCAGGCGUAAUUCCUAGUGUAGCGGUGAAAUGCGUAGAUAUUAGGCGGAACACCAGUGGCGAGGGCGGCCUGCUGGACGGUGACUGACGCUGAGGCUCGAAAGCGUGGGGAGCAAACAGGAUUAGAUACCCUGGUAGUC
rnacentral:rRNA from 1 species